GCCAGACACAGCCUUCACGUCUGAGAUGUGAAGAGAUGGCUUGAAGAUUCCUCUGUCUAACCCUACAAGUCCUUGGUUCUACCUCAGAACAGAACGGAAAAUGGAGUGAGUGAUCUUGCAGAACUGGCUGUGAUCUGCUAAACUCGAGCUAAGCGGCAGAGGUUUUGGGAACCUGACCUCAGAUCCUCCCACUUGAACAACAAGCACCUUUACCUACCUGCUGGACCAUCUCCUUACCUGCUGGACCAUCUCCUUACCUGCUGGACCAUCUCCUUACCUGCUGGACCAUCUCCUUACCUGCUGGACCAUCUCCUUACCUGCUGGACCAUCUCCUUACCUGCUGGACCAUCUCCUUACCUGCUGGACCAUCUCCUUACCUGCUGGACCAUCUCCUUACCUGCUGGACCAUCUCGUUACCUGCUGGACCAUCUCCUUACCUGCUGGACCAUCUCCUUACCUGCUGGACCAUCUCCUUACCUGCUGGACCAUCUCGUUACCUGCUGGACCAUCUCCUUACCUGCUGGACCAUCUCCCAACUUGGUUCUUUUGCAAGCUGUAUUUGGAUCCACGGACCUAAGACUUUUCUUCAGGAUCACAGGCUCAAGCAAUCUUGCCUGCACAAUCAACCCUAUCACCAAAAUGGAUCCAGUAGGAGCCUAAGAAUAUGUCUUAAGAACACAUUUCAUUAUAUUGUCUUAAUUAACACCCCGUGUCUUCCUUACCUGCCCCCAAUAAUAAAGGCCCCAUUCUCUUCUA